rnacentral:rRNA from 1 species
AUUGAACGCUGGCGGCAGGCCUAACACAUGCAAGUCGAGCGGCAGCGGGAAAGUAGCUUGCUACUUUCGCCGGCGAGCGGCGGACGGGUGAGUAAUGCCUGGGAAAUUGCCCAGUCGAGGGGGAUAACAGUUGGAAACGACUGCUAAUACCGCAUACGCCCUACGGGGGAAAGCAGGGGACCUUCGGGCCUUGCGCGAUUGGAUAUGCCCAGGUGGGAUUAGCUAGUUGGUGAGGUAAUGGCUCACCAAGGCGACGAUCCCUAGCUGGUCUGAGAGGAUGAUCAGCCACACUGGAACUGAGACACGGUCCAGACUCCUACGGGAGGCAGCAGUGGGGAAUAUUGCACAAUGGGGGAAACCCUGAUGCAGCCAUGUCGCGUGUGUGAAGAAGGCCUUCGGGUUGUAAAGCACUUUCAGCGAGGAGGAAAGGUUGAUGCCUAAUACGUAUCAACUGUGACGUUACUCGCAGAGGAAGCACCGGCUAACUCCGUGCCAGCCGCCGCCGUAAGAC